rnacentral:rRNA from 1 species
UACGUGUGGGGCAAGCGUUGUUCGGAAUUACUGGGCGUAAAGGGCUCGUAGGCGGCCAACUAAGUCAGACGUGAAAUCCCUCGGCUUAACCGGGGAACUGCAUCUGAUACUGGAUGGCUUGAGUUCGGGAGAGGGAUGCGGAAUUCCAGGUGUAGCGGUGAAAUGCGUAGAUAUCUGGAGGAACACCGGUGGCGAAGGCGGCAUCCUGGACCGACACUGACGCUGAGGAGCGAAAGCCAGGGGAGCAAACGGG